rnacentral:lncRNA from 1 species
AUCACUGUUAUUUAAGAUAGGUAAUUUCACUGGAAAGUGAAAUCUGUGUGAAAACUUCAACAAGGAUCACAUAAAUCUCUUGCUACAUAGAGAAAUCUGCAGGCUUAGCAAGGGAUGAGCUCUCAGCUAGAAAUAUGAGCACAAAUAUGAAUUGUUGGGGUUCUUUUAAGAAAAUAGAAGGAUAAAUGCUGCUGAGAACUUUGAAGAUUCAGAAUGAAUGUGAAUACCAGCCUGUUCGAUGGACAUUUUCCUCACACUAGCCAGUUGUAAAGCCCUGGAGAAAAUCUGAGCUGCUUUCUGAAAAUUGUCUAUGUCCUGUCACUUCAAGUAAGGAGAUUCUGUUUCAAAGCCAUUACUGUGAGGAAGCCCAUACUAAUCCAUACAGAGAGGCUGCAUGGAGAGGCCACUUGGGAAGGAAUAGAGGCCUGCAGCUGAAGGUCAUGAUAAACUCCCAGAUGUUGAAAAAGACACACAUCACACAUGGAGAUCACAUCUUUGGAGCCAAGGCAAUUGGAGUCUGGUAAAACCAAGAAGCAAAAUGUCCAUGAAAAAUAAGAGAAUGAGAUUCAUUAACUUAGGUUGAUUUCCUUAAGAGAUUGUGACCUGGAGAUUUGCUGCAGGGAGUUUAUUGGGAAGAACACUCUGGAGCAACACCAUUAAAGGAUUAAAACACCAGGAAUGAACCCUCUCAUCAUGUGUAGACACAGAGAGAUGGAAGUCAUCUGCAAGCAAAGGAAUGAAGACCCUCAAAACCAAACCUACCAACAUCAUGAACUUGGAUAUUUAGCCUUCAGAACUUUGAAAAGAUAGAGUUAUUUAAACAUCUUAGUGAGAAAUAUUUUUAUGGAAGUCUUAGCAAAUUAAUGGAGUCAGUUUUCUCAAGAGGCUUAUGUUUUAGAGAGUUUUAGCUUCAGGGAAAAAUUGAGCAAAAUAUAGAGAAGGAAUAUUUUCCACAGUGCCUCUACACAUGCGUAGCUUCCUACGUUAUUAACAAUCACCAACAGAAUGGUACAUUUGUUAUAAUUGUUGAAGUUUUGUGACACAUAAUUAUUAUCCAAAGUCCAUGUUAUACAGAGGGUUCAUAGUUGGUGUUGAAUAUUUCCUGGAUUAAAAAAAAUGUGUAAUGUAUUUAUUUACCUUUAUAGUACUAUACAAAUAGUUUCACUGGUGAAAAGAAAAAUCUUCUAUGCUCUAUUAGUCCUUCUCCAUAACCCCUGAAACCACUGGUCUUUUUAUUAUCUCCACAUAUUUUUAUUUUUCAGAAUUUUUGAGCAGUUGAAGUCAAACUAUCUAAAAGGAUUUGAAUUUGGCUUUUGCCACAUAGUAAUGUAC